rnacentral:misc_RNA from 1 species
GGAAGUAAAAUCGUAACAAGGUUUCCGUAGGUGAACCUGCAGAAGGAUCAUUACCGAAUUGUCAAACGGGUUGUUGCUGGUCUUCAAACGGGGACAUGUGCACGCUCUGUUUACACAUCCACUCACACCUGUGCACCCUCCGUAGUUCUAUGGUCUGGGGGACCCUGUCUUCCUGCCGUGGUUCUACGUCUUUACACACACUCUGUAAUAAAGUCUUAUGGAAUGUAUGCCGCGUCUAACGCAAUACAAUACAACUUUCAGCAACGGAUCUCUUGGCUCUC